AGAGUUUGAUCCUGGCUCAGGACGAACGCUGGCGGCGUGCUUAACACAUGCAAGUCAAGGAGAACGGAUCCUUCGGGAUACUAUUAAACUGGCGAACGGGUGAGUAACGCGUAGGCAACCUGCCUUGGAGAUUGGGAUAACUCCGGGAAACCGGUGCUAAAACCGAAUAAUGCAGCGUAUCCUUCGGGAUACAGUUGUUAAAGCGGGCUUCGGCUCGCACUUUAGGAUGGGCCUGCGUCCGAUUAGCUUGUUGGUAGGGUAACGGCUUACCAAGGCGAUGAUCGGUAGCUGGUCUGAGAGGAUGAUCAGCCACACUGGGAUUGAGAUACGGCCCAGACUCCUACGGGAGGCAGCAGUGGGGAAUUUUGCGCAAUGGGGGAAACCCUGACGCAGCAACGCCGCGUGACCGAUGAAGCUUCUAGGAGCGUAAAGGUCUGUCGUAAGGGAAGAAAAGUUUGGAUGUAAAUAAUGUUCGAACCUGACGGUACCUUACAAGAAAGCACCGGCUAACUUAGUGCCAGCAGCCGCGGUAAUACUAGGGGUGCGAGCGUUGUCCGGAAUCACUGGGCGUAAAGGGUCCGUAGGCGUCCCAAAAAGUCAUUUGUUAAAUACACCGGCUUAACCGGUGGCCUGCAUUUGAAACUGUUGGGAUAGAGUAUAGGAGAGGAAAGUGGAAUUCCUGGUGUAGCGGUGACAUGCGUAGAUAUCAGGAGGAACACCAGUGGCGAAAGCGGCUUCCUGGCCAAACAUUGACGCUGAGGUGCGAAAGCGUGGGUAGCGAACAGGAUUAGAUACCCUGGUAGUCCACGCCGUAAACGAUGAGAACUAGAUGUCGGGAGGGUUUUGCCUCUCGGUGUCGCAGCUAACGCGUUAAGUUCUCCGCCUGGGGAGUACGGUGGCAACACUAAAACUCAAAGGAAUUGACGGGGACCCGCACAAGCGGUGGAGCAUGUGGUUUAAUUCGAUGCAACGCGAAGAACCUUACCUGCCCUUGACAUUGACAGAACCCUUUAGAGAUAGAGGGGUGCUUCGGCCUGGAAAACAGGUGCUGCAUGGCUGUCGUCAGCUCGUGUCGUGAGAUGUUGGGUUAAGUCCCGCAACGAGCGCAACCCUUGUCCUUAGUUGCUAACAUUUAGUUGAGAACUCUAAGGAGACCGCCGGUGACAAACCGGAGGAAGGUGGGGACGACGUCAAGUCAUCAUGGCCCUUAUGGGCAGGGCUACACACGUGCUACAAUGGCCGGUACAGAGGGUUGCCAACCCGCGAGGGGGAGCUAAUCCCAGAAAGCCGGUCGUAGUCCGGAUUGGAGUCUGCAACUCGACUCCAUGAAGUCGGAAUCGCUAGUAAUCGCGAAUCAGCAUUGUCGCGGUGAAUACGUUCCCGGGUCUUGUACACACCGCCCGUCACACCAUGGAAGUAGGUUGCACCAGAAGUAGGUAGCUUAACCCUCGGGAGAGCGCUUACCACGGUGUGGUCUAUGACUGGGGUGAAGUCGUAACAAGGUAACC
rnacentral:rRNA from 1 species